UACGUAGGUGACAAGCGUUGUCCGGAUUUACUGGGCGUAAAGAGCGCGCAGGCGGUCGAUCAAGUCGAGUGUGAAAGCCCCCGGCUCAACCGGGGAGGGUCGCUGGUGACUGGCGAGCUUGAAGACAGCAGGGGCAGGUGGAAUUCCCGGUGUAGUGGUGAAAUGCGUAGAGAUCGGGAGGAACACCCGUGGCGAAGGCGGCCUGCUGGGCUGGUCUUGACGCUGAGGCGCGAAGGCGUGGGGAGCGAACGGG
rnacentral:rRNA from 1 species